AUUCAGCUGACGAGUCCGGAAUAGGACGAAACGCGCAUCCUGGAU
rnacentral:hammerhead_ribozyme from 1 species